rnacentral:rRNA from 1 species
CCUACGGGUGGCAGCAGUGAGGAAUAUUGGUCAAUGGACGAGAGUCUGAACCAGCCAAGUAGCGUGAAGGAUGACUGCUCUAUGGGUUGUAAACUUCUUUUUAUGGGAUUAAAAUGUUCCACGUGUGGGAUUUUGUAUGUACCAUAUGAAUAAGGAUCGGCUAACUCCGUGACAGCAGCCGCGGUAAUACGAAGGGGGCAAGCGUUGUUCGUAAUUACGGGGCGUAAAGGGAGUGUAGGCGGUUUAGUAAGAUAGUGGUGAAAUCCCAGAGUUUAAAUUUGGAAUUGCCAUUAUAACUAUUAGACUAGAAUUACAGAGAGGAUAGUGGAAUACCUAGUGUAGAGGUGAAAUUCGUAGAGAUUGGGUAGAACACCAGUGGCGAAGGCGACUAUCUGGCUGUACAUUGACGCUGAGGCUCGAAAGCAUGGGGAUCAAACAGGAUUAGAUACCCGUGUAGUC